AUAAAUACCUGGCGGGUACCUAAGGACAGUGAAGUCAGACAAGGCUGAGUUACAAGAAGUGAAACCCAAGGAGAGGAGCUGUUUAGGGUUUGGAAACUGCAGCUUAUUUUGCCUUUUUUGUUUUUUGUUCCAGCGCAAUGAAACAAGCCUUGUGGUUAGCGCUCCUUUAGCCCAGACACAACAUCAGAGCGCCCCCUGCUGGCCAACUGAACAGAGCGCCUCCGGUCCGCAGCACAGACUUCUCAAGCAAAGCUUGCCAGUACCAGGGAGAUUUCCUGUCAGGGCUCAAUGUUUAAAUAUAUAUGUGUGUGUAUAUAUAUAUAAGAAAGGACACUCUCUGUUUCCCCCCACGCCUUCCUCUUGGCCUCAAGGGAUUAUAAUAUAAACUGUUUAGGAAACUGCUAUUUAAAAAAAAAAACUACAAAAACUGCAGAUCUAAAAAGGGGGAAACGUUGAUAACAAGGAUAAAUAUACCGGUGUAGCUGCUGCGAUUUAGUUUGUGUCGAUUUUCCUGCACUCGCGGAGAAAUGCAAACAUCAAAAAAUUGAUCUUGUCGUCCUGGGUUAACGAUGGCGCAGAGAGAAGAAGGGCAGGGGCCGUAAUGAUCACCUUGAACUAAUAUCUAAAUUAUUAGCACCAUCUUCUUCUGGGAGAAAACGACCUGGGAAUUCAGCGGUAAAGGGGGAUCCUCAGCAAAUGUAUCUGGGAAAUGCAGAAGAGGGAAGAAAGGAAAACACAAGAAAGGCAGAACAAUUGAGGCGAAUCCUGUUGCAACCCCGAUGAUAAACACAUGGAAAAGGCUGUUACUGCUCUUUGGAUUGCUGGAAUUUGGGCAGACGUUAGAAAAAUAAACAAAGCGAUGGCUCCACAUCAGCUCUGUAAAUGCAAUGAUACAGUCAAUGGAAGGAUUUGGCAUAAACGGGGCAAUCUGCUGUGUUCCAGUCAUUCAACCUGAAAUGUUAUCCGCGUACCUUUGCACCUUAAGUGAAUGCACGGUUCGAGGCGAACGGUGCACGUAGCUGAAUACAACCAAAAUGCAGAUUGUAAAGUCCUUCUUUAAAAUGCAACCGUUCACAGGAACGUUUAACAAUACGAUGUGAAACAAUCGACUCCCCUCCCCAAAGACAGACAGAGAGAGAGAGAGAGAGAGAGAGAAAACACUAAAACCUGAGGAUGCAAAUUAAACUAAACUAAACUCAUCUCCAUGCUUUGGCGAGUUGAAUUUUCCUGUUGUUCCUACGAGGACUCCAUUUCGAUAUCAGUGUAAUAAAGAGAGAGGGAGUAAAACGUUCAUUUUACACAGUAGUAAGCGGCUUCUUGAUCAGUGCUGGAAUGAAUUUCGGGAGUGGCGCGAAUACAGCUCUGCGCGAGGAAGAAAUGGCUUGCGCGUUGUCGCAGCGAUAUUUUCCGGAGCAAUCAAACAGACCCGCAGCUCAGAUUUCCCUUCAUUCUAUUUAAGAGAAGCUCAGUGCUGCUUAUUGUGGAAGAAUCUACUAUUCCAUCCAUCAGGUCGCAUUUUGCCUCUUAUAUCGAGGGCCUGCCGGUAUGGUGUGAGAGACCACACACGCAGGGCCGGCGGGCAACAGAAUUUGGCUUGCAGGCAGCCAUGCAAACCUUCAAGAUACACACGGUAUAAGGAACGGCAAAAACGUAACAUUCACUUUGCAUUAAUGUAUCUGAAGCAACAGAAGUUGGAGCCCGGAAGAAGUCUAUAUUUUCAGGAUGGCUGCUCUGGCACCCAAGAAUCUCCCCAGUGUAUUUUUGUAUACUUUCAUAAUCCCCUGUCCUGACUUGAUUGUCUAAAGUGCUACAAUUCCUUUCUCAUAGACAUUUCAUAUCACAUUUCCAGAAGUAAGUAGGGACUGGUGAAUCUUGAUUCAGCUUAGUAGCAAGAAUCUUUAUAGUGACUCUUCUAUUCUGCCGUAGUUUUUUUUCCUCCAGAUGUUCAACUGCCUUUGAGAGUACUCAAGGAAACACAGGAACGCUGUGUUCCAACACUUUAUCAGUUUAAUUGAAAAAAAAAAUAACAUGCAAUGUACAGUCAGGGGCUCUUUAAAGAACUCCCUAGCAACUUCAUGGAUAAAUACUCUGCUCUUGCUCACUAAAUGAUAUAAAAUCACGUUGCUAAGUGAGUUUUCUUUUUAAAAACUUGUACAUGAACUUAAUGCUCUUGAGAAUGAGGAUGUUGGAGCAUUGCUCUGAGGCAGGCAUAAAAUAUGUGUAACAGACACCCUAGAGAACAGAACGUGGUACCUUCAGCAGCACAAGCCCUGGCUCUGAAUACUUGAGCUAAAGGUCCUUGUGCUGAUUGGAAUUAGUCACUAGCAGGAACAUAAUUAUCUUAUGGUAUAACUGUUCAUGUUAUUGAGCUAUUCCUAAGCAUCUGAGGUCCAUGGCAAUAUAAGUCCCAUCUAAUGUGUCCUUUUGUGCUGUUACUUGACAUGUACAUGUAUGUAGGCACAGACUUGUUAUACAGUCAUUGUGGAAAUUUACCUACAUUUUUAUACCAGUGCUUCCCGUGCUGCUGCCAUUGUCAUUUCAUCCUUGCUUGAGUAGUGCAGAACUGUGCUGGUAAAUAUCAUCCAGCAAGGAGAGAAGUAAAUUUGAUGGAUGUAGUACUCUUUUCUUUAGUGAGCUAGGCUGAAAAGUUAAACAUUCCUUCUCAUUUAUCACACAGUCUGCUGGUGCUUAUUGGCAAUAGGCUCACUCAUCCUUUUAAAUAGCUUUCUUUUUCUGUGGGGAGCAAUCUCUGUGUGAGUCCAGCAGAAUUCUUGAAACCAGGUUCCCAUCUGCUGUUUUUGAACCUUGAAGUUUCACCAGGUAUUAAGUUGGUUCAGCAGUCUUUGAACUUGAUCCUUCAAAGUACAACCCUAAUGCUAGGGCUGGGUCUUGAUACAAGGGACUAAGAUGGAGUCAGGCCAAUGGGAGGUAGGGUGCAUACAACUCUGCACCUUGCAGGACAGCUUUUCCCAUGAGGAGCAGCCUCCCUCCAAGCUCUUUCUCUUGGAAGUUGGAAUACUGAGUGAUGAAGGAGUUGACAGAAAGGGGCACUGAACCUGGAGGCGGGAGGAAAUAUUCCAUUCCCACUUCCUGCUACCAGCCAGCCUCCACAUGGUAGGGCAGAAUGUCACUCUAGAACAAGGCAGGGAAUUGGAAGAAGGGCAUCUGAUUGGCUCUGGGCCAGUCAGCUGGUACAGGGGCAGGGCUAAAGAGAACACAUGCUGAGAAGCCUAUGGCUGUUUGUUACUGCUGUUGCAGUAGAGAAUGGGCUCAGACACAGCCUGGAUUUAGGGUAGAAGCUGGAGGAUUGGCCUGGGGAGCAAGCUGGGGCAUGACCUAGAUCCAGGGUAAGAAUCCUGAGCAGCAUAGUAACCCUACGGGUCAGUGCUGCAGAGCCCAGGACACAGAACUCAGAGCUUGUCACGUGCCCACACAUGAGUGACCAGCAUGAGGGUUGGAAGGUACCCUGAUUGGGACUGAGAAACUGGGCUUGUGGGCUGUUUGGACUCUUAUUUGGUUUAGAGAGCAGUUAGGCAUUGGGGACUGGGUAAUUUGUACUAUUGUGGUGUGUGUUUGUGUACAUGUGACCACAUAUGCAUCCCGCCACCCCAUGAAUUGUCUCUGAUACUACCUGAUGGUUUGUUUCUGCUCAGAAAAAUAGUGUUUGAUUGUUGAGUGCAGUAUUUCUUCCUCAAGUGCUUGGGAAAGAAACAAGUGGUGUUUUCUCAGGCAUGUAGCUUGGGAUUUGGGAACCCCUUAACUAACCCCAGAGAGCCCCUGCCCAAUUAAUAGAAUUGCCUUCUCCUUUGGGGUCAUGGUUAUGUGGUGACUGCUUACAACCGCCAAUUGAAUGAGUGGACAGAACAUUACAAGCCAGAUUCUCAUGUACAUUAAGGGCCCUUUACAUUGCCAGAGUGAUCUUAAAUGCCUCAGUGUAAAUAAGAAUCUGGUCUUAAAUAUUUGUCACAAGUAUUUCGUCACAUUAUAUUUAUACCACCUUAUGUGCUACAUCUACCAGACAGGCAUUAGCAAGCAGAAAGUCAUGUCCAAAAAUUCAUUACUCCACAAUAUUCACACAGUGUAUUCCUUUUCUAAAAUAGUUUUUCACAUAAGGGGUUAAUGUUGUUUGAUUGUCAAAAUAGGUAGAAUUAAAUAAGCCCCAAAUCAAAUGGUGGUCUGACACUGUUCUCAGUUUAGAACUCCAGGGCUAAUAUUCUGGGGUCUCUGGAUAUUACUCAGUAAAGUUUAAAUGCUGUUACUUUUAUUGCCUUUCUCUGUGAGCUAUUCCACCCUGUUAAGUAGCAUGGUCAGAAUAUAACAAGAGUAAUCAUAGAAAUGUAGGACUGGAAGGGACCUCAAUAGGUCAUUGUGACAUACUGGGGUACAAUCUAGACUAGUGGGGGGGCUGUGUUACCCCUGCCCUGCAAACUUGGGUGCCUUACAAUGCCUUGCUGAAGUGGCUCCCACCUGGGUUGCUCACAAACAGCCUUCCACCAUGCAAGCUAUACCCUAAGUGUUUGUGUGUAACUGCAGCCUGCCAGUUACACCCUGGCUCUCACCAGCCUGGCUUAUACUGCAUGUGACCUCAACGCACUCCCAGUCCUGGAUUUUUCCGUGGAAAUAUAUGUCCUGUACUGCUCAACCUGCUUCUGGACAGUGCAAAUAUAUUAAGUCCAUUAUUCCUUUAAGGCAAUAAUAUGCCAGAUCAUUACCUUAAAUGGAGUUACCCAGACACUUCAGCUUAAUCACACUGUAUUAGAUAAAACAAGUUUAUUAAUUACAAAGAGAUAGAUUUUAAGUGUGUAUAAGUAAUGAGCCAUAAAAGUCAGAAAUGGUUACAAGAAAAAAACAGAUAAAACGCUUACUAGUGCCUAAUUUAACAAACUAUACUAGAUUCAAGCAAACUUUCUCACCACAUGCAGGUUACUGACCAAACUCUUCAGGUCAGGACUCCUCCCUCAAAGGAGGGGGAGUCUCUUGAGGUGUGUGCUCCUUUUUAUCGUUUCAUUUCCUUCUUGAAAA